rnacentral:rRNA from 1 species
AACGAACGCUGGCGGCAUGCCUAACACAUGCAAGUCGAACGAGAUCUUCGGGUCUAGUGGCGCACGGGUGCGUAACGCGUGGGAAUCUGCCCUUUGGUUCGGAAUAACAGUUGGAAACGACCGCUAAUACCGGAUGAUGACGAAAGUCCAAAGAUUUAUCGCCAGAGGAUGAGCCCGCGUAGGAUUAGCUAGUUGGUGUGGUAAAGGCGCACCAAGGCGACGAUCCUUAGCUGGUCUGAGAGGAUGAUCAGCCACACUGGGACCGAGACACGGCCCAGACUCCUACGGGAGGCAGCAGUGGGGAAUAUUGGACAAUGGGCGAAAGCCUGAUCCAGCAAUGCCGCGUGAGUGGUGAAGGCCUUAGGGUUGUAAAGCUCUUUUACCCGGGAUGAUAAUGACAGUACCGGGAGAAUAAGCUCCGGCUAACUCCGUGCCAGCCGCCGCCGUAA